AUGGAGAGUUUGAUCCUGGCUCAGGACUAACGCUGGCGGCGUGCCUAACACAUGCAAGUCAAGGAGAACAUUUCCUUCGGGGAAUAAGUAAACUGGCGGACGGGUGAGUAAUGCAUAGGUAACCUGCCCUAAAGACUGGGAUAACCCCGCGAAAGCGGGACUAAUACCGGAUAAUGCAGCGAAUCCUUUGGGAUAUGUUGUUAAAGCGGUCUUCGGAUCGUGCUUUUGGAUGGGCCUAUGUCCGAUUAGCUUGUUGGUGAGAUAAAAGCUCACCAAGGCUAUGAUCGGUAGCUGGUCUGAGAGGAUGAUCAGCCACACUGGGAUUGAGAUACGGCCCAGACUCCUACGGGAGGCAGCAGUGGGGAAUCUUGCGCAAUGGGGGAAACCCUGACGCAGCAACGCCGCGUGACCGAUGAAGCUUUUCGGAGUGUAAAGGUCUGUCGUGAGGGAAGAAUGGCUUCUAUGCAAAUAGUUUAGAGGCAUGACGGUACCUCACAAGAAAGCACCGGCUAACUUCGUGCCAGCAGCCGCGGUAAUACGAGGGGUG
rnacentral:rRNA from 1 species